GACGAACGCUGGCGGCGUGCCUAAUACAUGCAAGUAGAACGCACAGUUUAUACCGUAGCUUGCUACACCAUAGACUGUGAGUUGCGAACGGGUGAGUAACGCGUAGGUAACCUGCCUGGUAGCGGGGGAUAACUAUUGGAAACGAUAGCUAAUACCGCAUAAUAUUAAUUAUUGCAUGAUAAUUAAUUGAAAGGUGCAAUUGCACCACUACCAGAUGGACCUGCGUUGUAUUAGCUAGUAGGUGAGGUAACGGCUCACCUAGGCGACGAUACAUAGCCGACCUGAGAGGGGGAUCGGCCACACUGGGACUGAGACACGGCCCAGACUCCUAAGGGAGGCAGCAGUAGGGAAUCUUCGGCAAUGGACGAAAGGCUGACCGAGCAACGCCGCGUGAGUGAAGAAGGUUUUCGGAUCGUAAAGCUCUGUUGUAAGAGAAGAACGGGUGUGAGAGUGGAAAGUUCACACUGUGACGGUAUCUUAACAGAAAGGGACGGCUAACUACGUG
rnacentral:rRNA from 1 species